UACGAAGGGGGCUAGCGUUGUUCGGAUUUACUGGGCGUAAAGCGCACGUAGGCGGAUCGUUAAGUCGGGGGUGAAAUCCUGGAGCUCAACUCCAGAACUGCCUUCGAUACUGGCGAUCUUGAGUCCGGAAGAGGUGAGUGGAACUCCUAGUGUAGAGGUGAAAUUCGUAGAUAUUCGGAAGAACACCAGUGGCGAAGGCGACACACUGGCCCGUUACUGACGCUGAGGCGCGAAAGCGUGGGGAGCAAACAGG
rnacentral:rRNA from 1 species